AGGCAGUGUAUUGUUAGUUUGCUG
rnacentral:miRNA from 2 species